rnacentral:rRNA from 1 species
UACGAAGGGGGCUAGCGUUGCUCGGAAUCACUGGGCGUAAAGGGUGCGUAGGCGGGUCUUUAAGUCAGGGGUGAAAUCCUGGAGCUCAACUCCAGAACUGCCUUUGAUACUGAGGAUCUUGAGUUCGGGAGAGGUGAGUGGAACUGCGAGUGUAGAGGUGAAAAUUCGUAGAUAUUCGCAAGAACACCAGUGGCGAAGGCGGCUCACUGGCCCGAUACUGACGCUGAGGCACGAAAGCGUGGGGGAGCAAACAGG